GAAAGAGACGAGCAUAGGUUCCUCCCAAGAUGCCACCCGCUUCAUUCAAGUGUCUGGCAGCACUGUGUUCCUGUUAGAGCCACCAGCACAAGCACCAGACGAUGCUGAUCCAGGUGAAGGCCCCAGUGCAGCAGCAACAGCACAUGAUGGAGACGAUGAUGAUGAGGAGGAGACCAUCUC